rnacentral:rRNA from 1 species
UGCGAAGGGGGCUAGCGUUGCUCGGAAUCACUGGGCGUAAAGGGUGCGUAGGCGGGUCUUUAAGUCAGGGGUGAAAUCCUGGAGCUCAACUCCAGAACUGCCUUUGAUACUGAAGAUCUUGAGUUCGGGAGAGGUGAGUGGAACUGCGAGUGUAGAGGUGAAAUUCGUAGAUAUUCGCAAGAACACCAGUGGCGAAGGCGGCUCACUGCCCGAUACUGACGCUGAGGCACGAAAGCGUGGGGAGCAAACAGG